GAGAAAUUGGAAUUGUGCAAGCGUUCUAUGGAGUAACAAUACAUUUAUUCUAUCCUUUCUUGUCUGUUGUGAGUCAUUCAAAUGUCAGAACAAUACAGAAUAUUGGAACUCUUGGCCACUGGGAUAAUAAUCAUGAACAAAAAAGGAGAUUGGUGUAUACAAGAGCUUGAUGAGAUAUGAAGAAAGAAACUCAAGCUGCAAUAGAUUGAGCAGAUUUUUUAAUCCAGCAGAACACCAGAUAUAAAACCCAAGCAUUUCUCAAAAGAGCUGAGAAAUGAUGAGACAUAAAAAGUUUUGUGAACUGAAAGAGA